CACCCCAAAACGGGUGAGAGACACCCCAAAAACGGAGAGACACCCCAAAAACGGGUGAGAGACACCCCAAAACGGGUGAGAGACACCCCGAAAAUGGGUCAGGGACACCCCAAAAACGGGUCAGGGACCCCCAAAAACGGGUCAGGGAUCCCCAAAAUCGGGUCAGGGACCCCAAAAACGGGUCAGGGACCCCCAAAAUCGGGUCAGGGACCCCCGAAAUCUGGUCAGGGACCCCCAAAAACGGGUCAGGGACCCCCAAAAACGGGUCAGGGACCCCCAAAAUGGGUCAGGGACCCCCAAAAACGGGACAGGGACCCCAAAAAUGGGUCAGGGACCCCAAAACCGGGUCAGGGACCCCGAAACCGGGUCAGGGACCCCCAAAACCGGGUCAGGGACCCCCAAAAUCGGGUCAGGGACCCCCAAAAUGGGUCAGGGACCCCAAAAAUGGAUCAGGGACCCCAAAACUGGGUCAGGGACCCCAAAACCGGGUCAGGGACCCCAAAACUGGGUCAGGGACCCCCAAAACCGGGUCAGGGACCCCCAAAACUGGGUCAGGGACCCCCAAAAACGGGUCAGGGAUCCCAAAACCGGGUCAGGGACCCCGAAACUGGGUAAGGGACCCCCAAAAAUGGAUUGGGGACCCCAAAACUGGGUCAGGAACCCCCAAAAUCGAGUCAGGGACCCCAAAACCGGGUCAGGGACCCCCAAAAUCGGGUCAGGGACCCCAAAAAUGGAUCAGGGACCCCCAAAAUCGGGUCAGGGACCCCCGAAAUCCAGUCAGGGACCCCCAAAAAUGGAUCAGGGACCCCCGAAAUCCGGUCAGGGACCCCCAAAAUCGAGUCAGGGACCCCCAAAAAUGGGUCAGGGACCCCCAAAAUCGGCUCCGGGUCCCCAAAAUCGGGUCAGGGACCCCCAAAAUGGGGUCAGGGACCCCAAAAAUGGAUCAGGGACCCCAAAAACCGGGUCAGGGACCCCCAAAAACGGGUCAGGGACCCUAAAAAUUGAUUGGGAACCCCCAAAAUCGGGUCAGGGACCCCCAAAAACGGGUCAGGGACCCCCAAAAUGGGUCAGGGACCCCCAAAAACGGGACAGGGACCCCAAAAAUGGGUCAGGGACCCCAAAACCGGGUCAGGGACCCCGAAACCGGGUCAGGGACCCCCAAAAACGGGUCAGGGACCCCCAAAAUCGGGUCAGGGACCCCCAAAAUGGGUCAGGGACCCCAAAAAUGGAUCAGGGACCCCAAAACUGGGUCAGGGACCCCAAAACCGG
rnacentral:lncRNA from 1 species